rnacentral:rRNA from 1 species
AACGUACGCUGGCGGCACGCCUAAUACAUGCAAGUCGAACGGAGUAGUAAUACUUAGUGGCAGACGGGUGAGUAACAUGUGGGUAUCUUCCCUUUGGUGAGGAAUAACACGAGGAAACUUGUGCUAAUACCUCAUAAGUAUUUACGGAGAAAGCUUUAUGCGCCAAUGGAUGAGCCCGCACUUGAUUAGUUUGUUGGUAGGGUAAUGGCCUACCAAGACUGUGAUCAAUAGCUGAUUUGAGAGGAUGAUCAGCCACAUUGGGACUGAGACACGGCCCAAACUCCUACGGGAGGCAGCAGUAGGGAAUCUUGCACAAUGGAGGAAACUCUGAUGCAGCGAUGCCGCGUGAGUGAAGAAGGCCCUUGGGUUGUAAAGCUCUUUCGUCGGGGAAGAAAAUGACUGUACCCGAAUAAGAAGGUCCGGCUAACUUCGUG